GCCUAUCUAGCCUAAUCGGUACAACGGAAGGCUCUUAACCUUGUGGUAUUGUGGUUGUGGGCUCGAGCCCCACAGUGGACA
rnacentral:tRNA from 7 species